UACGUAGGUGGCGAGCGUUGUCCGGAUUUACUGGGCGUAAAGGGCUUGUAGGCGGCUCGAUCAGUCUGCUGUGAAAGUCAAAGGCUCAACCUUUGAAUGCCGGUGGAUACUGUCGAGCUAGAGUCCGGAAGAGGCGAGUGGAAUUCCUGGUGUAGCGGUGGAAUGCGCAGAUAUCAGGAGGAACACCAACGGCGAAGGCAGCUCGCUAGGACGGUACUGACGCUAAGGCGCGAAAGCGUGGGGAGCGAACAGG
rnacentral:rRNA from 1 species